UACAGAGGUGGCGAGCGUUGUUCGGAUUCAUUGGGCGUAAAGGGUGCGUAGGUGGCUUGGUAAGUUGGAUGUGAAAUUCCACAGCUUAACUGAGGAAUGGCAUCCAAAACUACCUUGCUUGAGGGUUUGGGAAGAGAGUGGAAUUCUCGGUGUAGCGGUGAAAUGCGUAGAUAUCGAGAAGAACACCAGUGGCGUAGGCGGCUCUCUACCACAUCCCUGACACUAAGGCACAAAAGCGUGGGGAGCAAACGGG
rnacentral:rRNA from 1 species